rnacentral:lncRNA from 1 species
GACCUGGGGUCUUUUGAUUUGAGAUCACUGACCUAUGACCUUAAAAUUGAGGUCAAGGUCAAAGGUCAAUUUGACGUUCUAGAUUUUGACCUUUGCUAAAAAUUAUUUUCUGUUCUUAAUAAAAUAAUUAAGUGUUCUACAUAUACCUUUUAAUCUUAUUUUUUUAUAUCAAUUUGAAGAACUAAAUUACAUCAACAAGGAGUGACAUUUUCU